rnacentral:rRNA from 1 species
CCUACGGGAGGCAGCAGUGGGGAAUAUUGCGCAAUGGGCGAAAGCCUGACGCAGCGACGCCGCGUGAGGGAUGAAGGUCUUCGGAUUGUAAACCUCUUUUAGUAGGGAAGAACAGUCAGUGUUCUAAUCAGUAGUGAAUUGACGUUACCUUCAAAGCAGGCACCGGCGAACUCCGUGCCAGCAGCUGCGGUAAUACGGAGGGUGCGAGCGUUAGUGGGAAGUAUUGGGCGUAAAGAGCGCGUAGGCGGUAUGUCAAGUCAAGGGUGAAAUCCUCGGGCUGAACGAUAGAACUGCAUUUGAAACUGGCAGUCUAGAGUAUGGGAGAGGAAAGUGGAAUUCGUGGUGUAGGAGUGAAAUCCGUAGAUAGCAAGAGGAACACCGAUGGCGAAGGCGACUAUCUAGCACAUAACUGACGCUGAGGCGCGAAAGCGUGGGUAGCAAACAGGAUUAGAUACCCCAGUAGUC